AGAGUUUGAUCAUGGCUCAGGAUGAACGCUAGCUACAGGCUUAACACAUGCAAGUCGAGGGGAAACGACAUCGAAAGCUUGCUUUUGAUGGGCGUCGACCGGCGCACGGGUGAGUAACGCGUAUCCAACCUGCCCAUCACUUGGGGAUAACCUUGCGAAAGUAAGACUAAUACCCAAUGACGUCUCUAGAAGACAUCUGAAAGAGAUUAAAGAUUUAUCGGUGAUGGAUGGGGAUGCGUCUGAUUAGCUUGUUGGCGGGGUAACGGCCACCAAGGCGACGAUCAGUAGGGUUCUGAGAGGAAGUCCCCCANAUUGGAACUGAGACACGGUCCAAACUCCUACGGGAGGCA
rnacentral:rRNA from 1 species